CUCGGCCCCUCCCUGCCUUCUUUCCUGGUUCUGCAUGAAGCUCAUUCCCUUUCUCCCUUCAGUUAUGGCCCAGCCAGGGGCCCCUCACCAAGAUACUAUUGCCAUGUCAUUGGAUCCUCCAGCCAUAAGAAUCAUGAGCCAAGGAAAUCUCUUUAUAAGUUAUCAGGUGGACCCUAAACACAGUCCCAAGUAGUCUUCCAGGAGAGAGGCAGGGGGAGGCUCAACGUGGAUCAGAGAGGACAAGACAGAGAUGGACACAAGCCCAAGAAUGCCAGCAGCCACACAAAACUGGGAGAGAUUCGCCACCUGCUGCACAAGUGGCAAGGACCUGAGUUCGAUUCCUGGUACCAAGAAAAAGGAAAAGAAAACUGGGAGAGAUAAGGGACAACUUCUUACUAAUGAGAUCUCCUCCUCUACAACCUCUUGUUGUUGGAAGACAAUCACCUACAAUCCCGAAGUAAAAGACAGAGAGGAAGAAUCAUUGGCUCAGCUGUGAUCACAUGACAGCCGGCAUCACAUACCACGCAUAUUCUGAACAUAGAACAAAUGUAAAGCAUCAGCCUAAGUGAAGAAGAUGAGCUUGGAAAAUACUGUCACCAUGUCCAAUAUCGGCACAUGUUUCCUUCCUCUCACUUGGGCUCAACUGUGCUAAUUAAUGAGUUGAGUGAAUAGCAGCCAUUAGUCACUGGUAGACUCUUCUCUGAAACUCUGUUUGACUUUUUUGAAUUGUCACUUGAGACAGGGUGAAAGGGAGCCACACCAAAUCUUCUGGAAUUCCAAAUGGACAGAGAGAGAUCAUACCAGGCACCAUCAUCACCCAUCAAACUGAAUAUGUUAGAUUUGCAAACCCCAGGAUGGGGCUGGAAGGAAUGUGGAGAGGAGAGUAGGUAGCAGAGCUGAGAGAGCCCAUGGACUACAAACCCAGCUUGGUUCAUCACAACUGGAAA
ensembl:lncRNA